UACGGGGGGUGCAAGCGUUAUUCGGAAUUAUUGGGCGUAAAGGGCGCGUAGGCGGUCCUUUAAGUCAGAUGUGAAAUCCCGGGGCUUAACCCCGGAAGUGCAUUUGAAACUAAAGGACUUGAGUAUGGGAGAGGGAAGUGGAAUUCCUGGUGUAGAGGUGAAAUUCGUAGAUAUCAGGAGGAACUCCAGUGGCGAAGGCGACUUCCUGGACCAAUACUGACGCUAAGGCGCGAAGGCGUGGGGAGCAAACAGG
rnacentral:rRNA from 1 species